rnacentral:lncRNA from 1 species
GUGUGGAUGUUCUUAAUGUUGCUACAGGAAGUGGUAAAAAAAUUGCAGAUGAUUUAUUGCUCCUAAUGCAAACCAUGCAGAAAGCAUCUACAUAACGGACUGGUGGAUAAAUACUGAGAAGGGGGUGACUCUCCAGCUUCCAGGAAAGAAGGAAGGUGCAUAAAGCUUGCAAUUUUCCCUGGGAUGAUCUCAGACUGACGCGUUCGAAGCAGCUAUAGGAGCAGUAUUGAUCAAAUGUGACACUGG